CACGAUAUCUUACAAGAACACAAUUAUCGCGUUAUAGCAGAACUACCUAUAGUCUGAGGUGGUUUGGACAUUUGGAUGAGAAGUGUUUGAACCUAAAUGUGGAAUGGAGCCAAGGAUAUGCCAAGAAUGACAUGGGGAGAAGUUGUAAGAAAUGACAUUAGAGCAUCGAGGACUACCAUCUGGUAAGCCAUGCAAACAUAAAAAAUGGCUGUAAAAUAAGGAUGAUGAUGUUGAUUCUGUUAUUUUGCAUACUUGCAUGAAAUUUCAUAAAAAUAUGUAAGAAUUGAACAAAUUUGCAUACACAUGACCCAGUAUUUUCAUGGUCAAAUUUAUAAAAGUAACACCAGCAGAUGCUCAUGAACUUUGCAUUACUUCACCCUUGUAUUUUAAUGGGAAGGUUAUGACUGAAGAAAGUGAAAAGAACAUGGACAUUAAUGUACUGUAUCUUAAAAAAAAUUUUCCUGGAUAAUCACCAUUAAAUAAAAAUAUAGAACCGUUCACUUGUAUGCCUCUCAAAGACUCGAUUAUUGUUCAAGACUCGAAUGAAUGAAUUGGAUCUUACACGAACUAUUGAGAAUACGUACUCUGUACAACUCAAGAAAGUAUUGUAUAAUUUAUGAACAAUAGUAACAAAUAUUAAAGUGGAAUAUAGUACAUUAUUAAAAUGAAUGUCAAACUGUCAAAACAUGGUGAAUGACUUAACACCACAGGCAUCAUGAGUUUUGAUAGAUCUAAUAUUAUAAGAAGCUUCCUGUUUUUAUAUCAACAAUCAUAAUUAUAUGGGAAUGUCACAAAAUAAAAGAAACCUUUAC